rnacentral:rRNA from 2 species
GACGAGGCACUACGGUGCUGAAGCAACAAAUGCCCUGCUUCCAGGAAAAGCCUCUAAGCAUCAGGUAACAUCAAAUCGUACCCCAAACCGACACAGGUGGUCAGGUAGAGAAUACCAAGGCGCUUGAGAGAACUCGGGUGAAGGAACUAGGCAAAAUGGUGCCGUAACUUCGGGAGAAGGCACGCUGACACGUAGGUGAAGUGAUUUACUCAUGGAGCUGAAGUCAGUCGAAGAUACCAGCUGGCUGCAACUGUUUAUUAAAAACACAGCACUGUGCAAACACGAAAGUGGACGUAUACGGUGUGACGCCUGCCCGGUGCCGGAAGGUUAAUUGAUGGGGUCAGCGCAAGCGAAGCUCCUGAUCGAAGCCCCGGUAAACGGCGGCCGUAACUAUAACGGUCCUAAGGUAGCGAAAUUCCUUGUCGGGUAAGUUCCGACCUGCACGAAUGGCGUAAUGAUGGCCAGGCUGUCUCCACCCGAGACUCAGUGAAAUUGAACUCGCUGUGAAGAUGCAGUGUACCCGCGGCAAGACGGAAAGACCCCGUGAACCUUUACUAUAGCUUGACACUGAACAUUGAGCCUUGAUGUGUAGGAUAGGUGGGAGGCUUUGAAGUGUGGACGCCAGUCUGCAUGGAGCCGACCUUGAAAUACCACCCUUUAAUGUUUGAUGUUCUAACGUGGACCCGUGAUCCGGGUUGCGGACAGUGUCUGGUGGGUAGUUUGACUGGGGCGGUCUCCUCCUAAAGAGUAACGGAGGAGCACGAAGGUUGGCUAAUCCUGGUCGGACAUCAGGAGGUUAGUGCAAUGGCAUAAGCCAGCUUGACUGCGAGCGUGACGGCGCGAGCAGGUGCGAAAGCAGGUCAUAGUGAUCCGGUGGUUCUGAAUGGAAGGGCCAUCGCUCAACGGAUAAAAGGUACUCCGGGGAUAACAGGCUGAUACCGCCCAAGAGUUCAUAUCGACGGCGGUGUUUGGCACCUCGAUGUCGGCUCAUCACAUCCUGGGGCUGAAGUAGGUCCCAAGGGUAUGGCUGUUCGCCAUUUAAAGUGGUACGCGAGCUGGGUUUAGAACGUCGUGAGACAGUUCGGUCCCUAUCUGCCGUGGGCGCUGGAGAACUGAGGGGGGCUGCUCCUAGUACGAGAGGACCGGAGUGGACGCAUCACUGGUGUUCGGGUUGUCAUGCCAAUGGCACUGCCCGGUAGCUAAAUGCGGAAGAGAUAAGUGCUGAAAGCAUCUAAGCACGAAACUUGCCCCGAGAUGAGUUCUCCCUGAGACUUAAAGUCUCCUGAAGGAACGUUGAAGACGACGACGUUGAUAGGCCGGGUGUGUAAGCGCAGCGAUGCGUUGAGCUAACCGGUACUAAUGAACCGUGAGGCUUAACCUUACAACGCCGAAG